rnacentral:rRNA from 1 species
AACCUCCGCAAUGUGAGAAAUCGCGACGGGGGGAUCCCAAGUGCCAUUCUUAACGGGAAGGCUUUUCAUUAGUGUAAAGAGCUUUUGGAAUAAGGGCUGGGCAAGACCGGUGCCAGCCGCCGCGGUAACACCGGCAGCUCUAGUGGUAGCAGUUUUUAUUGGGCCUAAAGCGUCCGUAGCCGGUUUAAUAAGUCUCUGGUGAAAUCCUGUAGCUUAACUGUGGGAAUUGCUGGAGAUACUAUUAGACUUGAGACCGGGAGAGGCUAGAGGUACUCCCAGGGUAGAGGUGAAAUUCUGUAAUCCUGGGAGGACCGCCUGUUGCGAAGGCGUCUAACUGGAACGGUUCUGACGGUGAGGGACGAAAGUUAGGGGCGCGAACCGGAUUAGAUACCCGGGUAGUCCUAACUGUAAACGAUGCGGACUUGGUGUUGGGGUGGCUUUGAGCUGCUCCAGUGCCGAAGGGAAGCUGUUAAGUCCGCCGCCUGGGAAGUACGGUCGCAAGACUGAAACUUAAAGGAGUU